UACGAAGGGGGCUAGCGUUGCUCGGAAUCACUGGGCGUAAAGCGCACGUAGGCGGAUUUGUCAGUCAGGGGUGAAAUCCCGGGGCUCAACCUCGGAACUGCCUUUGAUACAGCAAGUCUUGAGUUCGAGAGAGGUGGGUGGAAUUCCUAGUGUAGAGGUGAAAUUCGUAGAUAUUAGGAAGAACACCGGUGGCGAAGGCGGCGAUCUGGGUCGAUACCGACGCUGAGGUGCGAAAGCGUGGGGAGCAAACAGG
rnacentral:rRNA from 1 species